rfam:Ictidomys tridecemlineatus contig046629, whole genome shotgun sequence.
GGGGAUAUGGCUCAGUGUAGAGUGCUUGUCUAGUAUUCAUGAGGCCCUGGGUUUGAUCCCCAGUUCCUCCU